rnacentral:rRNA from 1 species
UACGUAGGGGGCUAGCGUUGUCCGGAUUUAUUGGGCGUAAAGAGCGUGUAGGCGGCCAGGUAGGUCUGCUGUGAAAACUCGAGGCUCAACCUCGAGACGUCGGCGGAAACCAUCUGGCUAGAGUCCGGAAGAGGAGAGUGGAAUUCCUGGUGUAGCGGUGAAAUGCGCAGAUAUCGAGAGGAACACCUGCGGCGAAGGCGGGUUGCUGGGCUGAUACUGACGCUGAGGCGCGAAAGCCAGGGGAGCGAACGGGG